rnacentral:rRNA from 1 species
UGGAUGCCCUGGCAGUCAGAGGCGAUGAAGGACGUGCUAAUCUGCGAAAAGCGUCGGUAAGGUGAUAUGAACCGUUACAGCCGGCGAUGUCCGAAUGGGGAAACCCAGUGCAAUUCGUUGCACUAUCGUUAACUGAAUACAUAGGUUAACGAGGCGAACCGGGGGAACUGAAACAUCUAAGUACCCCGAGGAAAAGAAAUCAACCGAGAUUCCCCCAGUAGCGGCGAGCGAACGGGGAGCAGCCCAGAGUCUGAAUCAGCUUGUGUGUUAGUGGAACGGUCUGGAAAGUCCGACGGUACAGGGUGAUAGUCCCGUACACCAAAAUGCACAGGCUGUGAACUCGAAGAGUAGGGCGGGACACGUGGUAUCCUGUCUGAAUAUGGGGGGACCAUCCUCCAAGGCUAAAUACUCCUGACUGACCGAUAGUGAACCAGUACCGUGAGGGAAAGGCGAAAAGAACCCCGGCGAGGGGAGUGAAAAAGAACCUGAAACCGUGUACGUACAAGCAGUGGGAGCACCUUCGGGUGUGACUGCGUACCUUUUGUAUAAUGGGUCAGCGACUUAUAUUCUGUAGCAAGGUUAACCGUAUAGGGGAGCCGCAGGGAAACCGAGUCUUAACUGGGCGUUAAGUUGCAGGGUAUAGACCCGAAACCCGGUGAUCUAGCCAUGGGCAGGUUGAAGGUUGGGUAACACUAACUGGAGGACCGAACCGACUAAUGUUGAAAAAUUAGCGGAUGACUUGUGGCUGGGGGUGAAAGGCCAAUCAAACCGGGAGAUAGCUGGUUCUCCCCGAAAGCUAUUUAGGUAGCGCCUCGUGAAUUCAUCUUCGGGGGUAGAGCACUGUUUCGGCUAGGGGGUCAUCCCGACUUACCAACCCGAUGCAAACUACGAAUACCGAAGAAUGUUAUCACGGGAGACACACGGCGGGUGCUAACGUCCGUCGUGAAGAGGGAAACAACCCAGACCGCCAGCUAAGGUCCCAAAGUCAUGGUUAAGUGGGAAACGAUGUGGGAAGGCACAGACAGCCAGGAUGUUGGCUUAGAAGCAGCCAUCAUUUAAAGAAAGCGUAAUAGCUCACUGGUCGAGUCGGCCUGCGCGGAAGAUGUAACGGGGCUAAACCAUGCACCGAAGCUGCGGCAGCGACACUAUGUGUUGUUGGGUAGGGGAGCGUUCUGUAAGCCUGCGAAGGUGACCUGUGAGGGUUGCUGGAGGUAUCAGAAGUGCGAAUGCUGACAUAAGUAACGAUAAAGCGGGUGAAAAGCCCGCUCGCCGGAAGACCAAGGGUUCCUGUCCAACGUUAAUCGGGGCAGGGUGAGUCGACCCCUAAGGCGAGGCCGAAAGGCGUAGUCGAUGGGAAACAGGUUAAUAUUCCUGUACUUGGUGUUACUGCGAAGGGGGGACGGAGAAGGCUAUGUUAGCCGGGCGACGGUUGUCCCGGUUUAAGCAUGUAGGCUGGUUAUCCAGGCAAAUCCGGAUAAUCAAGGCUGAGGUGUGAUGACGAGGCACUACGGUGCUGAAGUAACAAAUGCCCUGCUUCCAGGAAAAGCCUCUAAGCAUCAGGUAACAUCAAAUCGUACCCCAAACCGACACAGGUGGUCAGGUAGAGAAUACCAAGGCGCUUGAGAGAACUCGGGUGAAGGAACUAGGCAAAAUGGUGCCGUAACUUCGGGAGAAGGCACGCUGGUGUGUAGGUGAAGUCCCUGCGGAUGGAGCUGAGACCAGUCGAAGAUACCAGCUGGCUGCAACUGUUUAUUAAAAACACAGCACUGUGCAAACACGAAAGUGGACGUAUACGGUGUGACGCCUGCCCGGUGCCGGAAGGUUAAUUGAUGGGGUUAUCCGUAAGGAGAAGCUCUUGAUCGAAGCCCCGGUAAACGGCGGCCGUAACUAUAACGGUCCUAAGGUAGCGAAAUUCCUUGUCGGGUAAGUUCCGACCUGCACGAAUGGCGUAAUGAUGGCCAGGCUGUCUCCACCCGAGACUCAGUGAAAUUGAACUCGCUGUGAAGAUGCAGUGUACCCGCGGCAAGACGGAAAGACCCCGUGAACCUUUACUAUAGCUUGACACUGAACAUUGAGCCUUGAUGUGUAGGAUAGGUGGGAGGCUUUGAAGCGUGGACGCCAGUCUGCGUGGAGCCAACCUUGAAAUACCACCCUUUAAUGUUUGAUGUUCUAACGUUGGCCCCU